rfam:Picea glauca, whole genome shotgun sequence.
UGCCUAAAACAUAGUGUUAAUGAAUCGUAUCCCAUUAGAACUCUGCAGUUAAGCGUGCUUGGGCUAGAGUAGUACUGUGAUGGGUGACCGCCUGGGAAGUCCUAGUAUUUUACAUGC